rnacentral:rRNA from 1 species
CCAUGGGAGUGGGUUGCAAAAGAAGUAGGUAGCUUAACCUUCGGGAGGGCGCUUACCACUUUGUGAUUCAUGACUGGGGUGAAGUCGUAACAAGGUAACCGUAGGGGAACCUGCGGUUGGAUCACCUCCUU